AUCUGGGCGGCGAAAUUCAGAAUGACUGGGCGGUCUCGCGCUUGUCCGGUCGUUUGAUAUUUUCGUCGCCGUGUCAGACGUCGCGAUCUGUUCGUCGUCGGCCCCUGCUCGGAGGAGUUGCCAUUCAAUUUGUUGGGGGCCGCGUUUCGCGUGUUCAACGGCAAAGAUGCGAAUCUCUGGCUGACGACGGACAGUAAGCAAUGGUGACCGAUACUGUGUCGCGUGCACCGUGUCGGUACCGAUCGGCGACGAUUUCUUCGGGCCUCUUUCCGACCCGUCUUGAAACACGGACCAAGGAGUCUAACAUGCGCGCGAGUCGCGGGGUAUCGAGCGUACUACGGUGCGCUCGGCUCAUUAUGAAACCCGUAUGUGGAAGGCGUAAUGAAAGUGAAUGGGGAAGAUGGUGUUCCGAGUAUACGUACCGUGAAAUUUCGCGGCCGGACACCCGCAUUCCCGGGGCGUCUCAAGGUUCGUCGCGAUUGCGGAUCAUCGUCUCUCGGGAUGGUGGUCGGUUUGCGACGGUCCGA
rnacentral:rRNA from 1 species